rnacentral:rRNA from 1 species
UCGAGAGGCUUUGGCAAUGGGGGAAACCCUGACCAAGCGACGCCGCGUGGAGGAUGAAGGCCCUUGGGUUGUAAACUCCUUUUGUUGGGGAAGAAACGCGAUCAGGUGAACAAUCUGGUCGUUUGACGGUACCCGACGAAUAAGCUCCGGCUAACUCCGUGCCAGCAGCCGCGGUAACACGGGGGGAGCAAGCGUUGUUCGGAAUCACUGGGCGUAAAGGGCGUGUAGGCGGUCGAGUAAGUGGGAUGUGAAAUCCCCCGGCUUACCCGGGGACCUGCAUCUCAAACUGCUCGGCUUGAGUACGGGAGAGGAUGAGGGAAUUCCUGGUGUAGCGGUGAAAUGCGUAGAUAUCAGGAGGAACACCGGUGGCGAAGGCGCUCAUCUGGCCCGAUACUGACGCUGAGGCGCGAAAGCUAGGGGAGCAAACGGG